UGUACAAGUGUAGGAGAUGUUAGAGCAGUUACUAAUAUUUACCCGAGGGGGAUUAAUCCUCUGGACAUGUAAAGAGCUUGGAAAUGCUCUUAGGGGAUCACCAAUUGACACCUUGAUCUGGUCUUGUCUUUUGCAAGAACGACAAGGAGGUGGAAAUUUCUGGCUUUAGAUUUCUGGCCAAACAGGAGCUCACAGGAAGAUUUCAAAGGUUGUUGUAAACUGAUUUUAGGAGAUUGGUUUUCUUAAUUUCUUGGAGAGGAGGGAUAUUUUUUAGGAUGGCUAAUAAUGAAGAGACAGGUAGCCCAGGUUGGGGUGCUUCGUUUGAGGUUACCCUCCAGAAAAGCAGCUGCCUCUUAAAUACAAAGAUCUUUCAUUUUGCAUCCCUGGAGGCUUGGAGGUUGGGUGUAUGCUUUUUGGGUCAAUUUUUGGAAUGAUCAGUUUGUGUAUUUGAAAGUUAGGAGCUAUAUUUCUUAUUGCUCAUGACUUCUAGUUGUUCAGCUGCUGUGGAAUCAUAACUUUAGUUAUCUCGAGCGAUUUGACUAUAAAUAGGCUUGAUGUAAUUCUCAUAACUGUUAUAUAAUAACAUCUAUU